GAUGAACGCUGGCGGCGUGCCUAAUACAUGCAAGUCGAGCGAACAGACGAGGAGCUUGCUCCUCUGACGUUAGCGGCGGACGGGUGAGUAACACGUGGAUAACCUAUCUAUAAGACUGGGAUAACUUCGGGAAACCGGAGCUAAUACCGGAUAAUAUAUUGAACCGCAUGGAUCAAUAGUGAAAGACGGUUUUGCUGUCACUUAUAGAUGGAUCCGCGCCGCAUUAGCUAGUUGGUAAGGUAACGGCUUACCAAGGCGACGAUGCGUAGCCGACCUGAGAGGGUGAUCGGCCACACUGGAACUGAGACACGGUCCAGACUCCUACGGGAGGCAGCAGUAGGGAAUCUUCCGCAAUGGGCGAAAGCCUGACGGAGCAACGCCGCGUGAGUGAUGAAGGUCUUCGGAUCGUAAAACUCUGUUAUUAGGGAAGAACAAAUGUGUAAGUAACUAUGCACGUCUUGACGGUACCUAAUCAGAAAGCCACGGCUAACUACGUG
rnacentral:rRNA from 1 species